rnacentral:rRNA from 1 species
GACGAAGGUGGCAAGCGUUGCUCGGAAUCACUGGGCAUAAAGCGCGCGUAGGUGGCCUGACAAGUCAGUGGUGAAAUCCCAUCGCUCACCGAUGGAACUGCCGCUGAUACUGCCGGGCUUGAGGACAGUAGGGGAGAGUGGAACUCCUGGUGUAGCGGUGAAAUGCGUAGAUAUCAGGAGGAACGCCGGUGGCGAAAGCGACUCUCUGGGCUGUUCCUGACACUGAGGCGCGAAAGCUAGGGGAGCAAACAGGAUUAGAUACCCUGGUAGUCCUAGCUGUAAACGAUGGGCACUAGGUAGGGGUGGUUUCGAUGCCUUCCCUGCCGGAGCAAAUGUGUUAAGUGCCCCGCCUGGGGAGUAUGAUCGCAAGGUUAAA